GUGUGUGAUGGAGAAUGUUGGUGUGUGAUGGUGAAUGUUGGUGUGUGUGAUGGAGAAUGUUGGUGUGUGAUGAAUGUUGGUGGUGUGUGUGAUGGAGAAUGUUGGUGUGUGAUGGUGAAUGUUGGUGUGUGUGAUGGAGAAUGUUGGUGUGUGAUGGUGAUGUUGGUGUGUGAUGGUGAAUGUUGGUGUGUGAUGGAGAAUGUUGGUGUGUGUGAUGGUGAAUGUGGUGUGUGUGUGUGAUGGAGAAUGUUGGUGUGUGUGAUGGAGAAUGUUGGUGUGUGUGAUGGUGAAUGUUGGUGUGUGAUGGUGAAUGUUGGUGUGUGUGAUGGAGAAUGUUGGUGUGUGUGAUGGUUGAAUGUUGGUGUGUGAUGGUGAAUGUUGGUGUGUGAUGGAGAUAAUGUUGGUGUGUGAUGGAGAAUGUUGGUGUGUGUGAUGGAGAAUGUUGGUGUGUGAUGGAGAAUGUU
ensembl:lncRNA